CUAAUUUUGAUUCAUUUUCAGAAACAAAGGAUACGAGAAUGUACGUCAUCAAUCUGGCUUUGUUCUUCACAUUCUUCUACGGAAACGAUUGUAAUGACGCCUGCGGCAUCCUUAACAAGCGACAAUCAGUUGAUUUAAACGGGUACUGUCUAACUGCCUUGAUGGAAAACUUAACAUGGGAUCACGCAAUGGAUUUCUGCUCAACGAACUUCUACAUGGGAACCUUGGCGGAGCUGUUGACAGAAAAGCAACACAACAUUUCCAUAACAAUCAUGUCAACA